AUUGUGGGUCAAUUUAAAUUUUGUGUUUAAAAUUUGGAUACACAUUUUCUAUUCAGCCCCUCCUCCCAGGAGGAGCCCGUGCUUACAGCCCCACCUACCAGGGAAGAGAGAAUUGUUUGAUCACACAGGCCAGCCACUGUUUGUGAGGGGUACAGAGGGGUCUCAGGGAGAUUCCAGGACAGUGGAGGAGGCGAGUUGAAACGAAGAACCCCACAACCAGGGUUUCAUUAAAAACUACAUUGCCAGGCUGGGCUUAAACUUGCGAUCCUACUGCCUCAGCCUCCUAGGGUACUGGGAUUACAGGCGUGCGCCACCAGGUCUGGCUUCACUGGAGAUUUUAAAGCUGGAAUUAGCAGUGAAGGGCACACGGCCUACAUCACUUGUGGUGCACAAUGGAG
rnacentral:lncRNA from 1 species